GAUGAACGCUGACAGCAUGCUUAACACAUGCAAGUCUACUUGAACUUCGGUUUGGGUGGCGGACGGGUGAGUAACGCGUAAAGAACUUGCCUCACAGUUAGGGACAACAUUUGGAAACGAAUGCUAAUACCUGAUAUUAUCAUCUUAGGGAAUCCUAGGAUUAUGAAAGUUAUAUGUGCUGUGAGAGGGCUUUGCGUCCCAUUAGCUAGUUGGAGAGGUAACGGCUCACCAAGGCGAUGAUGGGUAGCCGGCCUGAGAGGGUGAACGGCCACAAGGGGACUGAGAGACGGCCCGUACACAGACGGGAGGCAGCAGGGGGUAAUAUUGGACAAUGGACCAAAAGUCUGAUGCUGCAAUUCUGUGUGGACGAUGACGUUUUUCGGAGUGUUAAGUGCUUUCAGUUGGGAAGAAGAAAAUGACGGUACCAACAGAAGAAGUGACGGCUAAAUACGUG
rnacentral:rRNA from 1 species